rnacentral:rRNA from 1 species
AGCUAGAGUUUGAUCAUGGCUCAGAACGAACGCUGGCGGCAGGCUUAACACAUGCAAGUCGAACGCGUGUAGCAAUACACGAGUGGCGCACGGGUGAGUAACACGUGGAUAUCUGCCUUUUGGUUCGGAAUAACUCAGGGAAACUUGAGCUAAUACCGGAUAAGCCCUUACGGGGAAAGAUUUAUCGCCAAUAAAUCAGCCCGCGUCCGAUUAGCUAGUUGGUGGGGUAAAGGCCCACCAAGGCGACGAUCGGUAGCUGUUCUGAGAGGAAGAUCAGCCACACUGGGACUGAGACACGGCCCAGACUCCUACGGGAGGCAGCAGCAAGGAAUUUUCCGCAAUGGGGGCAACCCUGACGGAGCAACGCCGCGUGACGGAUGACGCCUCUUGGGGUGUAAACGUCUUUUGCCGGGGGAGAGAACGGACGGUACCCGGCGAAUCAGGACCGGCUAACUACGUGCCAGCAGCCGCGGUAAUC